GACGAACGCUGGCGGCGUGCUUAACACAUGCAAGUCGAACGAAGUGGCGAACGGGUGAGUAACGCGUAAUCAACCUGCCCUUCAGAGGGGAACACCAUUUGGAAACGACUGCUAAUCCCGCAUACUGAAGGAGGGGAUUGCGUCUGAUUGGAUAGUUGGGGGGGUAACGGCCCACCAAGUCGAUGAUCAGUAACCGGUCUGAGAGGAUGAACGGCCACAUUGGGACUGAGACACGGCCCAGACUCCUACGGGAGGCAGCAGUGGGGAAUCUGCCGAAAUGGACGAAAGUCGGACGGAGCAACGCCGCGUGAGUGAUGACGGCCUUCGGGUUGGAAAGCUCUGUUAAUCGGGACGCGGUACCGGAAUAGAAAGCCACGGCUAACUACGUGCCAGCAGCCGCGGGAAUAC
rnacentral:rRNA from 1 species